AUCAGAAGAAUGGUUAUCUAUCGCAGAACGUUUUGAAGAUUGAAAAAUUCCAUCUAACUAUGGUAUCCCGACAUCAAGUACUGCGGGGAUGCUGAACACCGGAAUCCAUUACUGACAAAGGAUAAAUGAAUAAGAACAUUCCAAGUUUCUCAACAACAGUUCAACAUAUGGGUUUCAAGGAGCUGAAAGAGGCUGACAAGGAAAGCAACGGUGUGCUACCAGUCAUUACGGCCACUUCUCCCAAGCAACUGGUGAAGGAAGAUGAGGGGACUGUGGUUCACGGGUUGGUGAAGGCGCCAACGAAUCGGACGGUGGCCUUGAUGAGACCAUAGAUAUGCGUCGCUUUGGUGGAGAUGCAGCUUGUGGUGUCGGCAGAUCUGGACAGUGUCUUUUAUGUGCCACGUGUUUCUGCGUGGCUGUUCCGUGGCUUGUGCGCAUUUGCACAGUCGGGUGAUGACGGGAUGAACCUAUUUGCAAAAUUUGUACAUUAUUAUUUUGUAAAAAUACUUUGCAGCCACCUUAAGCGUCAUUUCAAUAAUACAUUA